CCCAGACUCCUACGGGAGGCAGCAGUGGGGAAUAUUGCACAAUGGGGGAAACCCUGAUGCAGCGACGCCGCGUGAGUGAAGAAGUAUUUCGGUAUGUAAAGCUCUAUCAGCAGGGAAGAAAAUGACGGUACCUGACUAAGAAGCCCCGGCUAACUACGUGCCAGCAGCCACGGUAAUACGUAGGGGGCAAGCGUUAUCCGGAUUUACUGGGUGUAAAGGGAGCGUAGGUGGCAUGGUAAGCCAGAAGUGAAAACCCGGGGCUCAACCCCGCGGAUUGCUUUUGGAACUAUCAGGCUGGAGUGCUGGAGGGGUAAGCGGAAUUCCUAGUGUAGCGGUGAAAUGCGUAGAUAUUAGGAGGAACACCGGUGGCGAAGGCGGCUUACUGGACAGAAACUGACACUGAGGCUCGAAAGCGUGGGGAGCAAACAGGACUAGAUACCCGAGUAU
rnacentral:rRNA from 1 species